rnacentral:rRNA from 1 species
AGUCACUGACAUUAGACUACCCCCGUAGUCCCAGCCCUAAACGAUGCGCGUUAGGUGUAUCGGUGACCACGAGUCACCGAGGUGCCGAAGGGAAACCGUGAAACGUGCCGCCGUGGGAAGUACGGUCGCAAGGCUAGAAACUUAAAGGAAUUGGCGGGGGAGCACCACAACGGGUGGAGCCUGCGGUUUAAUUGGACUCAACGCCGGGAAGCUCACCGGAUAAGACAGCGGAAUGAUUGCCGGGCUGAAGACCCUGCAUGACCAGCUG